AGGAGGAGGCUACUUUAGUUAAUACCUAGAGAUAGUGGACGUUACUCGCAGAAUAAGCACCGGCUAACUCUGUGCCAGCAGCCGCGGUAAUACAGAGGGUGCGAGCGUUAAUCGGAUUUACUGGGCGUAAAGCGUGCGUAGGCGGCUUAUUAAGUCGGAUGUGAAAUCCCCGAGCUUAACUUGGGAAUUGCAUUCGAUACUGGUGAGCUAGAGUAUGGGAGAGGAUGGUAGAAUUCCAGGUGUAGCGGUGAAAUGCGUAGAGAUCUGGAGGAAUACCGAUGGCGAAGGCAGCCAUCUGGCCUAAUACUGACGCUGAGGUACGAAAGCAUGGGGAGCAAACAGGAUUAGAUACCCUGGUAGUCCAUGCCGUAAACGAUGUCUACUAGCCGUUGGGGCCUUUGAGGCUUUAGUGGCGCAGCUAACGCGAUAAGUAGACCGCCUGGGGAGUACGGUCGCAAGACUAAAACUCAAAUGAAUUGACGGGGGCCCGCACAAGCGGUGGAGCAUGUGGUUUAAUUCGAUGCAACGCGAAGAACCUUACCUGGCCUUGACAUACUAGAAACUUUCCAGAGAUGGAUUGGUGCCUUCGGGAAUCUAGAUACAGGUGCUGCAUGGCUGUCGUCAGNNNNNNNNNNNNNNNNNNNNNNCUCGUGUCGUGAGAUGUUGGGUUAAGUCCCGCAACGAGCGCAACCCUUUUCCUUACUUGCCAGCAUUUCGGAUGGGAACUUUAAGGAUACUGCCAGUGACAAACUGGAGGAAGGCGGGGACGACGUCAAGUCAUCAUGGCCCUUACGGCCAGGGCUACACACGUGCUACAAUGGUCGGUACAAAGGGUUGCUACACAGCGAUGUGAUGCUAAUCUCAAAAAGCCGAUCGUAGUCCGGAUUGGAGUCUGCAACUCGACUCCAUGAAGUCGGAAUCGCUAGUAAUCGCGGAUCAGAAUGCCGCGGUGAAUACGUUCCCGGGCCUUGUACACACCGCCCGUCACACCAUGGGAGUUUGUUGCACCAGAAGUAGCUAGCCUAACUGCAAAGAGGGCGGUUACCACGGUGUGGCCGAUGACUGGGGUGAAGUCGUAACAAGGUAGCCGUAGGGGAACCUGCGGCUGGAUCACCUCCUUAA
rnacentral:rRNA from 1 species